rnacentral:rRNA from 1 species
GACAGAGGGUGCGAACGUUGCUCGGAAUCACUGGGCGUAAAGCGCGCGUAGGCGGACAAGAAAGUUGGGUGUGAAAUCCCUGGGCUCAACCCAGGAACUGCAUUCAAAACUCCUUGUCUGGAGUGACGGAGAGGAUAGUGGAAUUCCCGGUGUAGAGGUGAAAUUCGUAGAUAUCGAGAGGAACACCAGUGGCGAAGGCGGC